rnacentral:rRNA from 1 species
UAGGGAAUCUUCGGCAAUGGACGGAAGUCUGACCGAGCAACGCCGCGUGAGUGAAGAAGGUUUUCGGAUCGUAAAGCUCUGUUGUUAGAGAAGAACGUUGGUAGGAGUGGAAAAUCUACCAAGUGACGGUAACUAACCAGAAAGGGACGGCUAACUACGUGCCAGCAGCCGCGGCAAUACGUAGGUCCCGAGCGUUGUCCGGAUUUAUUGGGCGUAAAGCGAGGGCAGGCGGUUCUUUAAGUCUGAAGUUAAAGGCAGUGGCUUAACCAUUGUACGCUUUGGAAACUGGAGGACUAGAGUGCAGAAGGGGGGGGUGGAAUUCCAUGUGUAGCGGUGAAAUGCGUAGAUAUAUGGAGGAACACCGGUGGCGAAAGCGGCUCUCUGGUCUGUAACUGACGCUGAGGCUCGAAAGCGUGGGGAGCAAACAGG